CUGGGACUGAAUAGAAGGAAUGAAGUAUUAUACAGAUUGCAAAUUGCGUGAUCAUAGAGUGAGAGCAUUACACAAGUGUCCCGGCAUCUAAG